GCAACGGCCACGCUCUGGGUGGGUGUUCCUUGGAGAUUUGGGAUCACUUGGGAUGAGUUGGGAUUUUAUUGAUAUAACUCGAAAACAUUAUUAUUUACUAAGUUGCACUGUGCUUUCUGUGCAAACAACUUGUAAAUCACCUAUCAUUUUCUGAAGGUAAUCUACACCUUGACGAAGCUUGGCAUCUUCCAAUUCACGACACAAUGAAUAUAUAUACUUGAGCUGCAGCACAUGUCCGUAGUCUCCCCAAAGGUUGGAUAUAUGCCAUCUGAACUCAUCCAAUUCCCACGCUUCUCUAUCCAUACCCAAAGCACAUGACGUAAAACUGACCAACUUUCCAAACGACAAAGAAAGCCCGCAGAAUGCUGUGUCGAGGUCUGAAAGAUAUUUCCGUAUGUCAUCAAUUGUCUCGGUGUCGCGAAGGGGCUGAAUAGCGUCUACCAGAUUGGUAAUAUUUUGUUCGAUAUCCUGUCUCGUUUGGAAUAACGCGCGAGAUCAUCCAGGAUAGGAAUAUUUUGUUCAAUAUCCUGUCUCGCUUGAGCAACACUAUCGAGAGAUGCCUAAAUAAGAUAAGUAUUAAGAAACAACAAACUUGCGGAAGGGCUUAGCUUACCAUGAUGGAAUUGAAGCGGGUGAUAUGUUCUUUAUGGAAAUCUGGAAAUCUUCUUUGUGGUCUUGUGAGGCUCCCGUGGAUAACAAAUUGUACUUUGCUAUAUGAGCGUGGAUGAACACGGCUACUCUUAUAGCUGCUCGGAGCAUUGAUCAUCGAAACAAGUGAGAGGAAAACAUUUAGCUCGAUUUGGUUUACUGCAAGGGUUAUAUUGGGGUAUGCAAGAAGGCAGAACCAGUGCAUGCAACCAGCAUGCAAAUGGGAUGAACAAUGCAUCUCAUUUGUAGCAGCCCACCCGUCGAUUCCUCAUAUAUAGUUUUUCCCGGUCAGCAAUGAAGCCUUUUUGCAAAAACUGCGCAUGGAUCCCGGCAGGGGUACACUUGAAUGUGGUGCUAAAAAAGUUUCAUCCUGAAAAAUCAUCAGGAAUUGCUCCAAUAGUUGAAGAAUAAUAGUUACAGCAAACA
rnacentral:sRNA from 1 species